AUGCACAUGUCAGCCAUUCCUUCUACAGAGGGCCCAGAUCUGGCAGAAUUUCGCUAGCGGGUCCAGGUGCUGCUGUAGGCCCUGUUCGGAGUGUGACAGGAGAACCAGAUCGUCUGCAAAUAGGAGGAAUUAUACCUCUGUGCUUUGAAGGUUGAGCCCAGGAGCUGCAGACUGUUCCAACAAGCCGCCCGGCCUCACCCCCCGUUUCUGUGCGAAGAACUAUGUUUGUUUGGUGCCAAUUCUUACGCUGAGUUUAUUAUUUGAGUACAUUGACUUGAUCACGUCGAACACUUUACCCACCACACCACUCUCUACAUGUUUGUAGUAUAAUCCUGUGUGCCAAAUAGAGUCAAAUGCUUUUUUAAAGUCGACAAAGCAGGAUUAUUUUUUUUUUUUCAUAUUUUGUUACAUGCUUGUUGAUUAGAGCGAUUAGGGUGUAAAUGUGGUACGGUGGCCUGGAAGAAAGCCGAUUUGGUUUCUACACAGGGUAUUGUGUUUGUUAAGGAAGGUUUGAAUUCUCCCAUUUAAAAUGCUAUUAAAAACCUUACCCAGAUUACUGUUCACACAUAUACCUCUGUAAUUAUAAGGGUCCAAUUUGUUUCCACUUUUAUUAAUUGAUUCUAGAUGUCAGGAAAACAGCCAGAAUAUAGAACAAGGUUGAACAAUUUGAGCAUUGCGUUCUGAUUUGCAGGUGUGCUAUGUUUAAGCAUCUCACUUCUGAUAAUGUCAGGCCCACAGGAUUUAUGGGACUUUAAUGAUUUAGGUUUUUCUUUCAGUUCUUCACUUGAGAUGGGGAAGUCAAGUGGA
ensembl:lncRNA